GACGAACGCUGGCGGCGUGCUUAACACAUGCAAGUCGAACGGAAAGGCCCUGCUUUUGUGGGUGCUCGGGUGGCGACCGGGUGAUUAACCCGUGAGUAACCUGCCCUUGACUUUGGGAUAACUUCAGGAAACUGGGGUUAAUACCGGAUAGGAGCUCCUGCUGCAUGGUGGGGGUUGGAAAGUUUCGGCGGUUGGGGAUGGACUCGCGGCUUAUCAGCUUGUUGGUGGGGUAGUGGCUUACCAAGGCUUUGACGGGUAGCCGGCCUGAGGGGGUGACCGGCGACAUUGGGACUGAGAUACGGCCCAGACUCCUACGGGAGGCAGCAGUGAGGAAUAUAGCACAAUGGGCGGAAGCCUGAUGCAGCAACGCCGCGUGCGGGAUGACGGCCUUCGGGUUGUAAACCGCUUUCGCCUGUGACGAAGCGUGAGUGACGGUAAUGGGUAAAGAAGCACCGGCUAACUACGUG
rnacentral:rRNA from 1 species